UACGAAGGGGGGCUAGCGUUGCUCGGAAUCACUGGGCGUAAAGGGCGCGUAGGCGGCCAUUCAAGUCGGAGGUGAAAGCCCAGGGCUCAACCCUGGAAUUGCCUUCGAUACUGUCUGGCUAGAGACCGGAAGAGGUAAGUGGAACUGCGAGUGUAGAGGUGAAAUUCGUAGAUAUUCGCAAGAACACCAGUGGCGAAGGCGGCUUACUGGUCCGGUUCGACGCUGAGGCGCGAAAGCGUGGGGAGCAA
rnacentral:rRNA from 1 species